CGACUAUACAGUUAAAAAACGCGAACAGAGAGGCGACACGAGAGGGGGUUUCCCGGCGGGUCGCCGGCGGGCUCUGGGAAGUGGGCGAGAUCUCGGACGGCCGCACCGCGGUUGUAGAUAAUGGUGUUUUAGGACUUGAUUAUGGCAUUUGCGGGCAGGCGGGGCCGACGUCGACGCAGUGGAAUAUGGUUUCUCCGGUUCCUUCCCCGUCGUGGCGGUGCUCUCUCCGGCGGCGCUGCAGGGUUAGGGAGGUUGGUCUCUCUCUGGUUCGGGCAUCCGGCGAGGUUUGGUCGGUGAAGGGCGUGUACAGGAGUUGGGAUUUUGUGGAGAGGGAUUUCCAGAUCCGGUCACCGCGGACGACUGGCAGCUGCGGACUGUAGUGGGCGAAUGGUUGGAGCUACUGCUCCACUCCGGCGAAGGCUUGCGCUGGUGGCAGCUUCGAAAACAGGGGAAGGGGAGCACGAGGUCUACCCCUGGCUGAUGCACAGGAACCCGCCCCUUGUUCCCGUCCAUGGUUGUCUCGUGGACGACCACUCUUCCUCGCACUGGUGGAUGCAGAGAUCGGCGUGCCUCGGUAAAGGAAGAUGAACUGGGCUGAUAUAGAAGGCAGUUUCGCAGUGGGGUCACUGACAAGCAAGUAUAUGUCUCUGCAGAGAAAUAAGUCCUGGAGCAUGCUUUAGUGAAGACUACUGAUCCAGAAUUGGCCGUAUGUUCAUGAACAGUUUUCUGCUACUGAAAUAAGUCCUGGAGCAGGCUUCAGUGUGGACUACUGAUCUACAAGUCUUAUGUUGAUGAACAAUUUUAUGUUGCUCUGACUGAACGGAUUGUUGUAAUUUAGCCAAACAACAUGUCACCGUGCCACUACCUAGGUUUUUGCACAAAUUUUUUGUCUGUUUGGGUGGUGCCAAGCUGCCAAUAAAAGACAGGCUGUCUUCUUGUUACAAUUCAUGCCAUUCUUAUUAUGAUGUGUUGUGUCGAACAGGACGGUCUUUCAGCAAUGGUCAUGUCCAUUGUUUUCCCACAAUUACAUGAUCAAUCUAUAAAGUGGAAUCUGCUACA